UACGUAGGGUGCGAGCGUUAAUCGGAAUUACUGGGCGUAAAGUGUGCGCAGGCGGCCGCGCAAGUCGAGUGUGAAAGCCCCGAGCUUAACUUGGGAACUGCGCUCGAAACUACGUGGCUGGAGUGUGGCAGAGGGAGGUGGAAUUCCACGUGUAGCGGUGAAAUGCGUAGAGAUGUGGAGGAACACCGAUGGCGAAGGCAGGUCUCUGGGCUGACACUGACGCUCAUGCACGAAAGCGUGGGGAGCAAACAGG
rnacentral:rRNA from 1 species